rnacentral:rRNA from 1 species
AAAAUAGUAAAUAAUUAUUUAUUGAAACUUAAAUAAUUUGGCGGUAUUUUAGUUCAUUUAGAGGAAUCUGUUUAUUAAUUGAUAAUCCACGAAUAAAUUUACU